rnacentral:rRNA from 1 species
CAGUGGGGAAUAUUGCACAAUGGGGGAAACCCUGAUGCAGCCAUGCCGCGUGUGUGAAGAAGGCCUUCGGGUUGUAAAGCACUUUCAGCGAGGAGGAAAGGUUGGCGCCUAAUACGUGUCAACUGGACGUUACUCGCAGAAGAAGCACCG